CCUACGCGAUGCAGCAGUAGGGAAUCUUCCACAAUGGACGAAAGUCUGAUGGAGCAACGCCGCGUGAGUGAAGAAGUAAUUCGUUAUGUAAAGCUCUAUCAGCAGGGAAGAAAAUGACGGUACCUGAGUAAGAAGCCCCGGCUAACUACGUGCCAGCAGCCGCGGUAAUACGUAGGGGGCAAGCGUUAUCCGGAUUUACUGGGUGUAAAGGGAGCGUAGACGGCAGUGCAAGUCUGGAGUGAAAGGCGGGGGCUCAACCCCCGGACUGCUCUGGAAACUGUACGGCUGGAGUGCAGGAGAGGUAAGUGGAAUUCCUAGUGUAGCGGUGAAAUGCGUAGAUAUUAGGAGGAACACCAGUGGCGAAGGCGGCUUACUGGACUGUAACUGACGUUGAGGCUCGAAAGCGUGGGGAGCAAACAGGAUUAGAUACCCCAGUAGUC
rnacentral:rRNA from 1 species